rnacentral:lncRNA from 10 species
AAGUGACCCGCACUACAGCACAUAGCUGAUGCUCCAGAUCAGGGCCAAGACUUAGGACUCAGCUGCCUCUUGGGCAGCUGGGCUCUUUACACUAGAGGCAGAGAUUUGGAAAGGUGUUUUGCUGCUAGGUGUACGACAUGUGAACGAAACAAACUGAAUUACAGGGGCAGCGUGAAGGUUUUCCCUCCAGAUGAAAUCAAGCAGGUUUCCAAUAAGGAUGGAUAUGAAGACUUCUCUGAAGCAAGCAGUGAAGGAGACCUCCUAGGGGAUGAUGAUGCAGUGUGCGUCCUGUAUGUUGGCCCACCCCCUGCAUGCCAUCUUGAUGUGCUGCAUGGUCUAAUUUGUGGGAUGGGAGGUUAAGUACAGUGGUGUGCUGAGCUCCACUGGGAAGAUUUUCAAAGAGAAAGGGCCACUGGGAUUCUUUGUUGGCUUGAUCCCUCAUGUCCCGGGUGAAGUAGUUUUCUUGUGAGGCUAUAACCUGCUGGCCCACUUUAUCAAUGCCCACCUGGCGGAUGACAGAGUGAGUGACACCUAGAGGGGCUGAGAAAUGACCAGA